rnacentral:rRNA from 1 species
CCGCGUGAGGGAUGACGGCCUUCGGGUUGUAAACCUCUUUCAGCGGGGACGAAGCGAAAGUGACGGUACCUGCAGAAGAAGCACCGGCCAACUACGUGC